rnacentral:rRNA from 1 species
UAAGUAAAUAGUGAAAGCCUGGGGCUCAACCCCUUCAACAUUAUUUAAACUGCAUAGCUAGAAUAUGGGAGAGGUACCUGGAAUUCCAAGUGUAGGAGUGAAAUCCGUAGAUAUUUGGAGGAACACCGAUGGCGUAGGCAGGGUACUGGCCUAUUAUUGACACUAAGGCACGAAAGCGUGGGGAGCGAACGGGAUUAGAUACCCCGGUAGUCCACGCCGUAAACUAUGGAUGCUA